AUGAAAGGAAAAGAGAGAGGAUAGGUGUGGUGGGGAGAGGCGAGGUUAUUGAACAUUUAUCUAUGCCAGUUACAUCCUCAUAGAUUAUCUCAUCUGAUUCCCAUGAGUUUGUAAGAGAUCCAAGAAAAUUAGGAUGAAUUUAUAAGGUUCAAAAGCCCAUGCUCAAAGCCAAGAUUUGAACUCAGAUGGCUGACUUCAAGCCCAGACAGCAAAUAUAGCACUCAUGCCGCCACUUCCUGUCCUGCACUCAGAUUUGCUGGCAGAAGGAAGAUUUUUUUCUUCAAGGGAGGCCAUGCCCAUCACAGAGGCAUUACCAUUACUGUCCGGAUCCAAUCUGAAAGGUCAUCUUGAGCCUCCUUUGAUGUCAGCAAAAUCAUUUUAUUUGAGCAGUAGCCCGAAGGACCGUGGCUGAUUCACCACCUGUUGUCAUCUUCCCUCCUUCCUCCAGCAGUGAAUUUAGAAGAUCUCUUCACAGGGUAGCAGUGUAUU